CUUAUAUAACUAUUACAGCUAAAGUAGAGAAGGUCGACGUACCUAGCACCAGUAAAGGGAAAGGAAAGAUGAACAAGUAUUGAAGAUUUGUAAUAUGUUGACAUUUUACUGUCGGACUUUAUUUGAAUUAUUGUAAUGAAGUUAUUUAAUUUUCCGCAUAUGAAUGUUUAUAUUUAAAGGUUAGAUAACCUGGAAGAUUUUUA
rnacentral:lncRNA from 1 species